UACAUGGGGUGCAAACGUUGCUCGGAAUUAUUGGGCGUAAAGCGCACGUAGGCGGUUUGUUAAGUCGGAUGUGAAAUCCCUCGGCUCAACUGAGGAAGUGCAUCCGAAACUGGCAAGCUUGAGUACGAAAGAGGGUCGCGGAAUUCCCGGUGUAGAGGUGAAAUUCGUAGAUAUCGGGAGGAACACCGGUGCCGAAGGCGGCGACCUGGGUCGAUACUGACGCUGAGGUGCGAAAGCGUGGGGAGCAAACAGG
rnacentral:rRNA from 1 species